rnacentral:lncRNA from 1 species
AUACAUUACAACUUAAGUCAAUAAAAUUAAUCAUAUUUUUGUGUGUGCAUAUUUUCUUGUUUUAAUAUUUAAAACAUAUAUUUAAUAUAAAAAAGGUAUAAAAUAAGCAAAUCAUUCUACCAAUGUUAUUUGGUGUGGUAAACAUAGUUAGUCACCUUGAGAACGCUACUGUGUUAAACAAAUACAUUAAGUAGCUAAGUCAUAUGUGUAUGUAUAUGUCAUUUUAAUUCAAAGACAUGCAUUCUGAGUGUUUCAAUCGAUGUUAUAAUGUUCACCACAAACUUAGCUCUUUUUUCGUGUAUCCAUCUAAAAGGUUUCAUGUUUCUAAUAAAAGCAACUCUACGUUUGUUUUCACAAUUUGUUUUUUUAUUACUUUAACCAUUAUGGUCUAUAUAAACUUUCAUUUUCUUUUUUUUUAUUGUAAUUUUUAAAAUAAAAUAAAAUUAUGAUAUAAAUACAUUAAACUUUAAAAUUUUAGAUUUAAUAAAGCUCAAUUAUACAUUACAACUUAAGUCAAUAAAAUUAAUUUUUUUUUUUGCAUAUUCUCUUGUUUUAAUGUUUAAAAAAUAUAUUUAAUUGAAAGAAAAGGUAUAAAAUAAGUAAAUCAUUUUACCAAUAUUGAUUUGGUGUAGUAAAUAUAGUCAAUCACCUUCAGAAGGCUAAUGUAUUGAACAAAUACAUUAAGUAGCUAAGAAAUAUGUGUAUGUAUAUGUCAUUUUAAAUCAAAGACAUGUAUUCUGAGUGUUUCAACGCAUGUCAUAAAGUCCAAAGCAAAUUUAGAUCUUUUUCCAUGUAUCUAUCUAAUAGGUUUCACGUUUCUAAUAAAAAUAAGUCUACAUUUGCUUUCACAAUUUGUUUUGUUUUUCAUUACUUUAACCAUUUUUGUCUAUAUAAACUUUCAUUUUCUUUAUUUCAUUUUUUAUUGUCAUUUUUUUUAAAAUAAAAAUUAUGAUAUGAAUACAUUAUACCUCUUAGAAUUUUAGAUUUAAUAAACUCAAAUAUACAUUACAACUUAAGUCAAUAAAAUUAAUCAUAUUGUUUUUUUCUGCAUAUUUUUUGUUUUAAUGUUUAAAACAUAUAUUUAAUUUAAAAAAAGGUAUAAAUAAGCAAUUCAUUCUACCAAUGUUGAUUUGUUGUAGUAUGCAUAGUAAGUCACCUUGAGAAGGCUAUUGUGUUAAACAAAUACAUUAAGUAGCUAAGUAAUACGUGUAUGUAUAUGUACUUUAAUUCAAAGACAUGCAUAUGAUGGUUUCAACACAAUUAUAAUGUCCAAAGCAAACUUAACUAUAUUUCCAGGUAUCCAUCUAAUAGGUUCAUGUUUCUAAUAAAAGCAACUCUACGUUUGUUUUCACAAUUUGUUUUUUUUCAUUACUUUAACCAUUUUUGUCUAUAUAAACUUUCAUUUUCUUUAUUUCUUUUUUAUUGUCAUUGUUGCAAAAUAAAAAUUAUGUAUAAAUACAUUAUACUAUAGAAAUUUAGAUUAAAUAAAACUCAAAUAUACAUUACAACUUAAGUCAAUAAUAUUAAUUAUAAUUUUAUUUUGCAUAUUCUCUUGUUUUAAUGUUUGAAACGUAUAUUUAAUUUUUUGAAAGAGAUAAAAUAAGCAAAUCAUACUACCAUGUUGAUUUGGUUGGUAAACAUUGUGAUCACCUUGAGAAGACUACUGUGUUAAACAAAUACAUUAAGUAGCUAAGUAAUAUGUGUAUGUAUAUGACAUUUUAAGUCAAAGACAUGCAUUCUGAGUGUUCUAAUCAAUGUUAUAAUGUUCAAGGCAAACUUAGCUCUUCUUUCAUGUAUCCAUCUAAUAGGUUUCAGGUUUCUAAUAAAAGCAACUCUACGUUUGUUUUCACAAUUUGUUUUGUUUUUCAUACUUUAACCAUUUUUGUUUAUAAAUUCAUUUUCUUUAUUUCUUUUUUAUUGUCAUUUUUUUAAAAUAAAAAUUAUGAUAUGAUAAAAUUAUACCUUAGAAUUUUAGAUUUAAUAAAACUUAAAUAUACAUUACAACUUAAGUCAAUUAAAUUAAUCAUAUUUUUUUGUGUGCAUAUUUUCUUGUUUUAAUAUUUAAAACAUAUAUUUAAUAUAAAAAAGGUAUAAAAUAAGCAAAUCAUUCUACCAAUGUUGAUUUGGUGUGGUAAACAUAGUUAGUCACCUUGAGAAGGCUACUGUGUUAAACAAAUACAUUAAGUAGCUAAGUAAUAUGUGUAUGUAUAUGUCAUUUUAAUUCAAAGACAUGCAUUCUGAGUGUUACAAUCGAUGUUAUAAUGUUCAAAACAAACUUAGCUCUUUUUUCAUGUAUCCAUCUAAAAGGUUUCAUGUUUCUAAUAAAAGCAACUCUACGUUUGUUUUCACAAUUUGUUUUUUUUUUACUUUAACCAUUAUGGUCUAUAUAAACUUUCAUUUUCUUUUUUUUUUUUGUCAUUUUUAAAAUAAAAUAAAAUUAUGAUAUAAAUACAUUAAACUUUAAAAUUUUAGAUUUAAUAAAGCUCAAAUAUACAUUACAACUUAAGUCAAUAAAAUUAAUUAUAUUUUUUUUUUCAUAUUCUCUUGUUUUAAUGUUUAAAAAAUAUAUUUAAUUGAAAGAAAAGGUAUAAAAUAAGUAAAUCAUUCUACCAAUAUUGAUUUGGUGUAGUAAAUAUAGUCAAUCACCUUCAGAAGGCUAUUGUUUUGAACAAAUACAUUAAGUAGCUAAGAAAUAUGUGUAUGUAUAUGUCAUUUUAAAUCAAAGACAUGUAUUCUGAGUGUUUCAACCCACGUCAUAAAGUCCAAAGCAAAUUUAGAUCUUUUUCCAUGUAUCUAUCUAAUAGGUUUCAUGUUUCUAAUAAAAAUAAGUCUACAUUUGUUUUCACAAUUUGUUUUGUUUUUCAUUACUUUAACCAUUUUUGUCUAUAUAAACUUUCAUUUUCUUUAUUUCAUUUUUUAUUGUCAUUUUUUUUAAAAUAAAAAUUAUGAUAUGAAUACAUUAUACCUUAGAAUUUUAGAUUUAAUAAAACUCAAAUAUACAUUACAACUUAAGUCAAUAAAAUUAAUCAUAUUGUUUUUUUCUGCAUAUUUUCUUGUUUUAAUGUUUAAAACAUAUAUUUAAUUUAAAAAAAAUGUAUAAAAUAAUCAAUUCAUUCUACCAAUGUUGAUUUGUUGUAGUAUGCAUAGUAAGUCACCUUGAGAAGGCUAUUGUAUUAAACAAAUACAUUAAGUAGCUAAGUAAUACGUGUAUGAAUAUGUAACUUUAAUUCAAAGACAUGCAAUCUGAGUGUUUCAACCCAAAUUAUAAUGUCCAAAGCAAACUUAACUAUUUUUCCAGGUAUCCAUCUAAUAGGUUUCAUGUUUCUAAUAAAAGCAACUCUACGUUUGUUUUCACAAUUUGUUUAUUUUCAUUACUUUAACCAUUUUUGUCUAUAUAAACUUUCAUUUUCUUUAUUUCUUUUUUUAUUGUCAUUGUUGCAAAAAUAAAAAUUAUGAUAUAAAUACAUUAUACUAUAGAAAUUUAGAUUAAAUAAAAACUCAAAUAUACAUACAACUUAAGUCAAUAAUAUUAAUUAUAAUUUUAUUUUGCAUAUUCUCUUGUUUUAAUGUUUGAAACGUAUAUUUAAUUUUUUGAAAGAGAUAAAAUAAGCAAUCAUACUACCAAUGUUGAUUUGGUGUGGUAAACAUUGUGAGUCACCUUGAGAAGACUACUGUGUUAAACAAAUACAUUAAGUAGCUAAGUAAUAUGUGUAUGUAUAUGACAUUUUAAGUCAAAGACAUGCAUUCUGAGUGUUCUAAUCAAUGUUAUAAUGUUCAAAGCAAACUUAGCUCUUCUUUCAUGUAUCCAUCUAAUAGGUUUCAGGUUUCUAAUAAAAGCAACUCUACGUUUGUUUUCACAAUUUGUUUUGUUUUUCAUUACUUUAACCAUUUUUGUUUAUAUAAAUUUCAUUUUCUUUAUUUCAAUUUUUAUUGUCAUUUUUUUAAAAAUAAAAAUUAUGAUAUGAUAAAAUUAUACCUUAGAAUUUUAGAUUUAAUAAAACUUAAAUAUACAUUACACUUAAGUCAAUAAAAAUAUCAAUAUUUUUUUGUGUCCAUAUUUUCUUGUUUUAAUAUUUAAAAAUAUAUUUAAUAUAAAAAAGGUAUAAAAUAAGCAAAUCAUUCUACCAAUGUUGAUUUGUGGUGGUAAACAUAGUUAGUCACCUUGAGAAGGCUACUGUGUUAAACAAAUACUUAAGUAGCUAAGAAUAUGUGUAUGUAUAUGUCAUUUUAAUUCAAAGACAUGCAUUCUGAGUGUUACAAUCGAUGUUAUAAUGUUCAAAACAAACUUAGCUCUUUUUUCAUGUAUCCAUCUAAAAGGUUUCAUGUUUCUAAUAAAAGCAACUCUACGUUUGUUUUCACAAUUUGUUUUUUUAUUACUUUAACCAUUAUGGUCUAUA